AUUGAACGCUGGCGGCAGGCCUAACACAUGCAAGUCGAGCGAGCGGCGGACGGGUGAGUAAUGUCUGGGAAACUGCCUGAUGGAGGGGGAUAACUACUGUAAACGGUAACUAAUACCGCAUACCAUCAGAUGUGCCCAGAUGGGAUUAGCUAGUAGGUGUGGUAACGGCUCACCUAGGCGACGAUCCCUAACUGGUCUGAGAGGAUGACAAGCCACACUGGAACUUAGAAACGGUCCAGACGAUGACGGGAGGCAGCAGUGGGGAAUAUUGCACAAUGGGCGAAAGCCUUAUGCAGCCAGGCCGCGUGUGUGAAGAAGGCCUUCGGGUUGUAAAGAACUUUCAGCGGGGAGGCGGUACCCGAAGAAGAAGCACCGGCUAACUCCGCGCCAGCAGCCGCGGUAAUCC
rnacentral:rRNA from 1 species